AACGAACGCUGGCGGCGCGCCUAACACAUGCAAGUCGAACGAGAAGGCGUAGCAAUACGCUUGUAGAGUGGCGAACGGGUGAGUAAUACGUGGGUGACCUACCCUCGAGUGGGGAAGUAACCCGCCGAAGGACGGGCGUAAUGCCGCGUACGCUUCCGUCCUCACGGGGACGGAAGGAAAGCUGUACCGUGGGUACGGCGCUCAAGGAUGGGCUCACGUCCUAUCAGCUUGUUGGUAGGGUAACGGCCACCAGCUCGACGGUAGCUGGUCUGAGAGGACGAUCAGCCACACUGGCACUGCGACGACGGGCC
rnacentral:rRNA from 1 species